CUUCCACCUCCUCCUUCCACCAGUAAUUUUUGACCCCCCAGAAGUCAUGCAGUGGUUAAGACAGGCCGGGAACCCCGCUCACAUGGCGCUGACCUUCUAAAGAAGCCGUGAACCCAGCAAACAGCGAACGAGCAAGAGGAGUUCACCUGGCGACAAAGCCCCUCCGUCCGCUCCUCUGGGGCCAUCCUCCUGCUGGGUGCUGACUCUCCGAGACUCACAGCUCUCCUCCGGACGCUCUGAGGUAAGAUGCUCGCAACCCCACCUUGCUAACGAGGCAAGCGAGGCACCCCGGCCUCAUGGGCAGCCCGCAGAUGGGGUUCCACCUCUCCUCCAGCUUAGUGCUCGCCGGCCUCGCCCUGCGCUCGGCGCGCUUCACCCCCGCGUUUGCCAUCCCUUUCCGGAACAGGAGGAACUGGCUCUCUCCUCUGCGCCGUCCGCUUCUGCUGCUCCCCUGCCUGAAAUGCUGUUCCCGAAGCUGAAAUGGCCACUUCGCCCCCGUGUGUGCACACGAGACCCUUCUGGAGAGCAUCUGACAAUGCGGGUGACGCCCAGCCCCUGCCCCAGCGCCACUGCGUCAGACCCCGGGGGGCCAGGCCUGGGUGUCAGCAUUUCUGCGCCCCCUGGUUGAUUCUGAUGUGUCACCAAGAUGGAGAACAGGUGCCCUGUCAUUUAUCCCGGUUUCAUCUCCAACGUGACGACCUCAGAGAGACCCACAGCUAGAGCUGCGCCCCGAAUCGAGAGCAGCCCCCGCCCCAGGCGUUUCCCAUCCCUUCGCUGGGUCGACGUUCCUCCCAGCACUUGCCUCGGUUGACAGUUCCCUCGCCCAGUGAUUGUCUGUCCCCCCUAACUGGGACAUGAGCUCCCGAGGGGCGCUGGCCCGCGCUGUUAUGUUCACUUCUGCAUCCCCAGACCCAGGAGCGAUGACCACUGGGCACACGGCGUCUCUUUUGACCCAAAGGCGGUUCAGAGACAUUGAGUUACUUUCCUAAGAUCCCCCAGCUGGGGUUGGGCCCCAUGCUUGGAGAGCUGCACCCCCAGACUUCCAGCCACGACACACCGUUCUCAGUCUACAAUCCUUGUUCCACGGAUGGGAAACUGAGGCCGAGGGCGGGAGUCUGCCCCACCCUGCAAGGUCACAAGUGCCUUUUGGGGCUGAGCCCUCUGCCCACCAGCUGCCCCCAACCCCAGCACCGCCAUCGGCGGACGCUGGACGGGCCCGGCUCUGUCUGAUCACCUGAGUGCGCAAGCCUUUGUGGCGACACCUCUCUGAGCCCCGGGGGACCUCCUGGCAGG
rnacentral:lncRNA from 1 species